rfam:Corchorus olitorius cultivar O-4 contig23910, whole genome shotgun sequence.
UGGAUGAGGAUGAAGCAAAAAUAUAUAUAAUCCAACACUUGAUCUGAGAUAAUUUCAUUAUCGAGUGAUGUUCAAAUAUUGCUUCUGAAUCUAU